AGCUAUCAAAUCUCAGUUACUUCUGGGAAUUUUUGUGUUUUUGGUACAGAAAAUGAAAACCACUUUCCACGCUGCGACAGAGAUCCAGGAAAUGGUAAUCAAGUCUAAGAGACUUCCAGGAAUACCAUUCUAUAUCCGACAAUAGCAGAAAGCUCUUGUGUCGGUCAGAAAUGAAUGCAAAUGAAGGAAGAGAGUAGCCUGCAACAGCAGGUUGCACUAUGGUUUCCCAUCGGAUGUACCGUACAGUAAACCUGCGAUGAGGACGAUCACUGAUCGAUCAAGGGUAUCAAAAGACUCGACCCGCCAAUCGAUAGCCUAUUUUUGAUUUCCUGCUGGGCUUUCUGAUUUCUUCUCUUUCUGUUCUUUGUUCUUGUUCUUGUGCCUUGCUGUACCGUUCCGUUGCGCUCCGCACUUGCUCUUGCUCUUUGUUGUGCUCUCUCCGCUUGUUGCUGUUGAUGCGCUUUCAUCUGGCUCGUUUCUCGCCCCUUUUGAUUUUGCUUUUGAUUUUGCCUUUGCUGUUGUUGUUCUCUUUGUCUUUGGCUUUUCGUUCUAUUUGCUAAUUUACGAAUCAGUUGAAGCUUGAUUGGUCAUCGGGAGCACAGAGCGCUGGGGGGCGGGGGACCGGGGGGCUAUUGUGUGCGCUCUUAUGCUGCCAUGAGAGGCAACAGGUUUUCAUUGGCAUUACCGCCCUGCCUGCUCUCCCCCCUGACGCUCACACUGCUGAUGCUCUGCUCUGCUCUCCUCUGCUCUGCUCUCCUCUCACUCUGUCUCUGUGGUUGUGAUUCGCGCGUGCCGCAUUCAAGUCGCUGCUUAAUUGAACAGUUAUUGAACAAUUAUUCCCAGUUCGAUCCUGUUUUGGGAGGCAAUGCCAUGGCCUCAGUGGCCUUCCUCCAUUUCCACACUUCUGAUGAUGAGCGGGACGGGAGCUGCUUCUCCUUCGUUACGAAUGCAUGAUUUCGAUUCAAAUCGAUGCAAAUAUUCAGUAAAAUUGCAAGCCAGUUCACAUAUUGUUCGUGUUAUUCUGUGAAAUCGAAUGUUCCUACCUUUUCGUUAACCUACCUUGCCCUCAAACUCGAAAUCUUCGACUCCCAACCGCACCGCUCUCUCGUUAUCAGUGCAUCUCUGUUUAAUCCCCGCUCUUUCAAUGGAUUGAAUGGAUCUUAUUCCCUCUCUUUUAGUGGAUUGAAUGGAUCUUAGUCCCUCUCUUUCAAUAAAUACAUACGUUCUCAUUCCCUGUUCAUACUCUUUCCAAUGGAUCUGUGUAGCAUCUUGCGGCUGGUCAGUUUUGAGAUUCUGGAAUGGGAAUGGGGAUUAUCUCUAUGGAAUAAAAUUAAUUAUUUUCUGCUGCAGUCGAUUCAUUUUAUAUAAGAACGAGGCGGCAUGUGCUACAGCGGUACAGUUGCCUCCUGCGCGUGUUGUGACAAGUUGUUUACUCUCGUAGUACUAGUACUUCUCGCGCGGUCUUUUCUAGGUCUUGUGGGCUUUUGGCAGCGCUUCCACUCAUUAUUCGCUCGAAGAUCAAGGGUUAAAGACGACACACAGCAUUUGCACGAAAAACUGCAAUGGAAAAUUCCACUCGCCCAUGAGUGGCUUUUGAUUGCGUGUCCCGUCCCUUUGCCACCGGCCCCGGCCAGGCCCUACCCCAACAGCUGUUCCAUUCGGAGAAACGGGCAUUUGAUCGAUAAGAACGGCACCAUGGAAAGAAGCAUACGAUAUGUACACAUGUACAUAUGUACAAGUAGGUGUACAAUUAUUUGAGCUUGGACAUUGAGCCCUGGCUUAAAAUUAAGGUGACGAGAGAUACAGAAAGAGUGUGGGUGGAUACCUGACUCCAAAAUGCAGGCAUUAACACUUGGAAAAUCGUAUACCCCGAUGGAGGAAAGAGUUUCUCAUUCAAUAUGUAGAGUUCCCUCCCGUCUGGCAUCUGGGAUCGGAUGCAUUUGGAUAUGGAAUUGUAAUCGAAACUAAGGAAGAAGAUUCCAGAAACUUUGGAUGGUCGGGCAUGGGGCUCGAUGUCACGCCGACGGGCUUAUGUAAGUGCCUGGUUUUGGCUCUAUUACACAUAUGAUUCAAUUCCGUUUACUUCCAUUCCCACCCUCAUCAAGUGGGCAUGAUGAUCGUAGAAUUGUGAAAUUGCUUGCAAGCGACGUCAAUGCGUCGCUAAACAUGUGAGAUAAUAAGAAGGUACCAGUACGAGUACGAUUGUUACACGGGCUGGAUAAAUCAACCUACCGCAAUUCGAAUUGAUAAUCAUUUUCCAAACAGGAAACUAUAGAUCAACUUAUCAAAGUCAAAUUGUAAUCGUUUCAUAUCCAUAUGAUAUGAAUAAUUUACUGAAUUAUCAAAUUUUGUUUAUCCGAAAAUUUUAGAACGAGUUGGUACAUGCAAUUCUCAUUCAUUGCUUGUUUACCCAUGGUAAUUUUCUUAUAUUUAUUUUUUUCUUGAAAUUUAAUUCGCAUUGUACGCUUUAGUAUACAGUAUGUCAGCUCCAAUUAAAUAAUUACGUUUAUUUCUAAUUUUUGAUGUGUUUGUCGAUUUCAUUUAAAUUUGCCAUUCAUU
rnacentral:misc_RNA from 1 species